GUGCUUACUUUGACAGCACAUAUGCUAAAAUUGGAAUGAUGCAGAGAAGAUUAGCAUGAUCCCUGCACAAGAAUGACAUGCAAAUUUGUGAAGCAGUCCAUACAUUU
ensembl:snRNA U6 U6 spliceosomal RNA